UACGUAGGGAGCAAGCGUUGUUCGGAUUUACUGGGCGUAAAGGGCGCGUAGGCGGCAGAUCAAGUCAGCUGUGAAAUCUCCGAGCUUAACUCGGAACUGUCAGCUGAUACUGUUUUGCUAGAGUGCGGAAGGGGCAAUCGGAAUUCUUGGUGUAGCGGUGAAAUGCAUAGAUAUCAAGAGGAACACCUGAGGUGAAGACGGGUUGCUGGGCCGACACUGACGCUGAGUGCGCGAAAGCGUGGGGAGCAAACAGG
rnacentral:rRNA from 1 species